AGAAGAGCCUUUUAUCAGUAUAUGAAUAAAAUUGGAAAUUGACGUUCAGAAGCAUUCAUACUAUGGACAUUUAGAAAAUACAGUAUCUCCCUGAUAUUACAGUGUGUGGAACGGGAAGGGGUUUUGACAUUUAAUCUUAACAUAGCCCACUUUAACUCCUUGAAGAAAUAUGAUGGGUGUGCUUGGUAGAAGUAACAGAUUAUCGAUUCAGAGAUUGUUUGAGGGAAAAAAAAUAAAAAAAAAUUCCUAAAAAGGAUUUUAUUGAAAAUAUUACAUAAUUUGGCUUCCGUUUCCUAAUGCAUAGCACCUGCAAAAAACUAUUCUGUGGUAAAUCAGUCAGCGGCCUCACCUGAAUGAAUGUUCCCGACCUCUUUCCAAAUGUUAACUGUGGUCUCUAGUUUCCCUUUGUGUCUCUGGUUAGCGGUCUGUAGCAAUAAGCACUGACCGUAAAUGUAUUAUGUUCCUGUAUACAUACUGUCAGCACAGAUUGCUACAGCCCCACUACUUUCGCUAUUUUCCCAGCACUAACCAGAGAGAGGAGAGCACUGCUGCCAGCAAUCAGGGCUGACAGCAGAAGAAAUACAGUGUGAAGUAUGUGACGUUUUAAGUAAAAGAUCAGAAAUGCAAGCCAGCCACAGGGAGAACAAAGGUAGACUGAGAAGCUUGCCACUGCAUCUUACCAAGUACCAGUCUUUAGCUCAGUAGACUUAAAACUGAAUUUUCUUUGCAGCACUCACUAAAGAGGCAGUUUACUAAUAAAAUGUAUAAAUAAAAUAAAAAAGUGCUCAAUAAAGUAUCUUAGAAAAACAUUUUAUAUCAUUGCCCCAAUGUGUU